rnacentral:lncRNA from 1 species
AGUUGACCGUAAGUGACCUGGAAUUGCCCCAAGCCCAACAUUCUAUUCUAGAUGAAUUUCAUCUUAAAUUUUCUAAUUUUGUUGCUCGAUUUCACAAUCCACCUCCUGGCCGAUUAGUAGUUUACGAGAAAAAUCUUUAGGCAGGUCCUAGAUUCCCCAUUUUUUCCUUCAUCUUUAAACUUUUUAGGUUCUAUGGGAUUACUUUCUGUGCUAUAUCCCCAAAUUUAUUUAGAUAUAUCAUAGGGUUUUUUGUUCUUUGCUCUUGGACGGA